UCAGGGGUGUUCUUACCCUCAGCAGUUGGGU
rnacentral:piRNA from 1 species